AAGGAGUCCAACAAAUGCGCGAGUGUUUGGGUGUCAAACCCGAGCGCGAAGUGAAAGCAAACGUAGGUGGGAUCCCCUUCUGGGGUGCACCAUCGACCGGUCCCGAAUCAUUGAUGAAAGAUCUGAGUAAGAGCGCAUUUGCUGGACCCGAAAGAUGGUGAACUAUGCCUGAAUAGGGUGAAGUCAGAGGAAACUCUGAUGGAGGCUCGUAGCGGUUCUGACGUGCAAAUCGAUCGUUCAAUUCGGUUAUAUGGGCGAAAGACUAAUCGAACCAUCGUGUAGCUGGUUCUCUC
rnacentral:misc_RNA from 1 species